CUACGGGGGGCUGCAGGCGCGAAACCUUUACAAUGCACGAAAGUGUGAUAAGGGAACCCUAAGUGCUUUACUUUUGUAAGGCUUUUGCUAAGAGUAAAAAUCUUAGAGAAUAAGUGGUGGGUAAGACGGGUGCCAGCCGCCGCGGUAACACCCGCGCCACGAGUGGGAACCACUAUUAUUGGGCCUAAAGCGUCCGUAGCCGGUUUAACAAAUCUUUUGUGAAAUUGUUAAGCUUAACUUAACGGUGUGCAGAAGACACUGUUAAACUUGGAACUGGGAGGAGUCAGAAGUAUUUCUAGGGGAGCGGUAAUAUGCUAUAAUCCUAGAAAGACUACCUGUGGCGAAGGCGUCUGACUAGAACAGUUUCGACGGUGAGGGACGAAAGCCAGGGGAGCGAUCCGGAUUAGAUACCCUGGUAGUC
rnacentral:rRNA from 1 species